CCGAAAGUCCCCCAUACCCUCCCUCCGCCCUGCUCCCUUACCCACCCACUCCUGCUUCUUGGCCCUGGCAUCCCCUGUACUGAGGCAUAUAAAGUUUACAAUACCAAGGGGCCUCUCUUCCCAGUGAUGGCUGACUAGGCCAUCUUCUGCUACAUAUGUAGCUAGAGAUACGAGCUCUGUAGGUACUGGUUAGUUCAUAUUGUUGUUCCACCUAUAGGGUUGCAGACCCCUUCAGCUCCUUAGGUGCUUUCUCUAGCUUCUCCAUUGGGGGCCCUGUGAUCCAUCUUAUAGAUGACUGUGAGCAUCCUCUUCUGUAUUUGCCAGGCACUGACAUAGCCUCAUACGAGACAGCUAUAACAGGGUCCCUUCAGUAAUAUCUUGCUGGCAUAUGCAAUAGUGUCUGGGUUUGGUGGCUGAUUAUGGGAUAGAUCCUCGGGUGGGGUAGUCUCUGGAUAGUCCAUCCUUUCAUCUUAGCUCCAAAGUUUGUCUCUGUAACUCCUUUCAUGGGUAUUUUGUUCUCUUUUCUAAGGAGGAGUGAAGUAUCCACCAUUGGUCUUCCCUCUUCUUGAUUUUCUUGUCUUUUGCAAAUUGUAUCUUGGGUGUUUCUGGGAUGAUAUCCACUUAUCAGUGAGUGCAUAUCUAUUGACUUCUUUUGUGAUUGGGUUACCUCACUAAGGAUGAUAUCCUCCAGAUACAUCCAUUUGUCCAAGAAUUUCAUAAAUCCAUUGUUUUUAAUCGCUAAGUAGUACUCCAUUGUGUAAAUGUACCACAUUUUCUGUAUCCAUUCUUCUGUUGAGGGGCAUCUGGGUUCUUUCAAGCUUCUGGCUAUUGUAAAUAAGGCUGCUACUAACAUAGUGGUGCAUGUGUUCUUAUUACCAGUUGGAACAUCUUCUGGAUAUAUGCCCAAGAAAGCUAUUGCUGGAUCUUGAAACACAUUUUAAAAAAUAGAGCUGUGUUUUUUUGUUUGUUUUUUCGUGUAUUUUGUUUGUUUGUUUUGUUUUGAUGUUUUGUUGUUUUUUGUUUUUGUUUGUUUGUUUUGUUUUGUUUUUACAUACUAGCUUUGUUUCAGGUCUUUUGCAAUUGCAAUUGCUGUUUCUUGUGGAUUUCAUAGACAUAGUAAUGUCAAGGAUGGGUGUAUACUUAUUUCCACAAAUACUUUGACAUACUUAACUAUUGAUGUGGUCAAUAUAAAGGAAGCACAUCUAGAGGAAGUCAUGAGUUUCUUGUCAGAAAAAAAUGUAUUUUACCUUUUGGACAUUCCUGCUUUUCUGCCUUUGUUUCCCUGGUUAUGGGUGCUUUUUAAUUCUUCUGGCCACUUUAUUUCUACACCUCAAUGAUGCUUGCUAUGUUCAAGAGCUGUGAUUUUACUAUGUUGGGUUGAGUCACUCCUUGUAAUGAUUGAGAAGUUUGUAAGAAAAGGGUUGUAUGUCUAUCACUUAGGACAAAGAGUCAGGACAUACAAUACAGGAAGGCAGUAGUUUCCUUUGUCCACUUAUCCACCUUAUCUCUUAAAACUGAAAUAUCUACUCCAGACCUAGGUUUUUUUUUUUUUGCCAUUGUUUAAAUACUAUAUGAAAGCCAUAGAAAAACCUACCUUAUUAUACUUUAUCACACGUGUUGUUGAAAUCGACUUCCUAUACUGCUGUUAAUCUAGAUCCUUCUCUUUAGUUUUAAAUCUCCUAAGAAUAAAAAACAUGUUUAGAGAUUAUAUUCUUACAUCUCUCUUUUGAAUUUAUCAUUUGCUCAGGAUUGUGAGCCUCUAAUGAAAAGUAUAAGACACUCAUACUUUGUAUUUUGUUCUCAUGGCUAUCCAGAUACGUUCUCCCAUAAUGCUCAGCUGGUGUCCAGGCAGAUCUGUCAUAAUUCAGAUAUAAAAAUUUAAUGUAAAGAUACAGGGACAUUUAAAAGGCUGUAUAUUAUUUUUCAUCUUCACUUUUAAUCCAUCCAUUUGAGUGAGGAGAUUUGAACUUGAAGAGGUUUGAACUUCCAGAAUGAUAUGAAAGUUAGGAGAAAUAAUCCACCAGGGGCCCAGCAGGGUGAGUUAGCAGAUAAAAGCAUUUUUCCAAGUUUCAUGGCUAGAAGGAAUCUCUGGGACUCACACAAGGGAAAAAUUAGCCAACUUCUUUGAGUUGUUCUCUUGUCUGCAUAUUUUCGCAUGCAUCCAUGCAUAUAUACAUGUGCACACACAAAUAAAUAAGCAAAUAAUAUCUAACUAACUAAUGAAAUGUAAUUUAAAAAAUUAAAGACUGCUAUAGUGUAGAAAUUAUAAGGAAGAAAUACUAGAGAAAAAUCAGUAAAUUUAUCCCAAGUUUAUUUGUUUUUGCUAAUAUGAAUAGAAUAAAUAAGUCUAUUUCCUGUUUUAUCUAUGGGUGUAUAACUUAGCACUGACUGUAGCAGAAACAAUAUGUAACAGAAUUUAGAUGUGGGUUUGCUGCUGUUAUUUCAUCUAUCAGUGUUAAUUCCAGUAAAGAUUUUCUACGUAAGCUCUUCUUUUCAAGACCAGCAUUUUGUUGAAUUCAUUUACAGUAGGGAUCUGAGUAGGAUAGACAUUUCUUUACCAGAGAUAAAGUUUGCACAUGUGGACGGGGAAGCAGUUUAAUGCUGUUAUAAACAUUUUCCCAGACUUCUAUACUAUUUCAUACUGCUAGAAAUGGGACUAAUCUUAUAAUGCUGAUGUGGAGGUCAUUAAAGAUGCUCUACACACUCAAGAUGGGUUUAUUAUUCUUGGCAUGCUCCCUUGGCUGUAGGAGAGAACAAUUUGCUGGCUACUCAAAUCAUAACUGUGGGUGAGGUUACCCAGUAAGCAAGAUAAUUUUAACACACCUAUCCUGCUCUCCCAUGCUGUGGUACUUAAUCUUGUUGCAUUAGGUAUAACCUCUGUGAUUUUAAUGAGGGAUAUUAAGUCACAUGGUUAUACUAUGGUAGGCUAUCACGUGACGAAGGCUUGUGCCACUGCUCUGGAUGAUCUGAGGUUGAAGUGAAAGUAGUCUAAUGGUUUUCUUUUCCAAUCACAAUAUCCACUAUGAGAUGUCCUGGAAUAUUUAGUACUUAGCCUGAAACUAAGACAUAGUUGACAUUCAGUAUUAGCUUUUAAACGUUUAAGGGUUGAUAACAUGUAAUCUGCCUCAUUUAGGAAAAGAAUAGUUCACAAAUUAUCUGGUUUAGGUAAGAUAAUAUUGACAUUAAAAUGUUUACAGUUGGCUCUCUCUAUUGUCAAUGGAGCUUGCAUUUUCUUUUUUUUUCCAUAUUUUUUAUUGGGUAUUUAUUUCAAUUACAUUUCCAAUGCUAUCCCAAAAGUCCCCCUCAUGCUCCCCCACCCACUCCCCUACCCACCCACUCCCACUUCUUGGCCCUGGUGUUCCCCUGUACUGAGGCAUAUAAAGUUUGCACGACCAAUGGGCCUCUCUUUCCACUGAUGGCCAACUAGGCCAUCUUCUGAUUCUUAUGCAGCUAGAGACAUGAGCUCCAGGGGGUUUAUUGGUUAGUUCAUAUUGUUGUUCCACCUAUAGGAUUGCAGAUCCCUUCAGCUCCUUGAGUACUUUCCCUAGCUCCUCCAUUGGGGGCCCUAGAUAUGGCUGUCUCUUGUGAGACUAUGCCGGGGCCUGGCAAACACAGAAGUGGAUGCUCACAGUCAGCUAUUGGAUGGAUUACAGAGCUUGCAUUUUCUAAGAAUUAACCACAGAUGAGUGGGGAAGUUACAUUCCUAUGUAUUCAUUUUCCUAGUGUUUGUAUUUCUGGAGUCUGCUCCAGAUUUUGAGUCUGUCUCUGAUACACUUUCUCGUUAAUAUUGAUGAGGAUAUUUUCUUGAACUGUGAGGUUUUCAUCCCAUCUAAUGCCAAUCCAAAACUACAUGAAAUUCCAUGUCCAGUUUUCAGUACAGAAUUUGAAUGUUGAUCCAGUCUGCCUUAGCAUUUCAUUGUAAUUAAGUGAUUUAAAAGAUACUAUCAUUUACAUCUGAAGAUUCUAAAGAAACACUGAGAUAUUUGUACAAAUAUGAACCAUCUCUGUUGUUACUCAAUGCUAUCAUAAGUACACCUGAAAUUAUACAUUGCUCAUAUCCCCUACCAAAAUAUAGGAUGUCAGCAAU
rnacentral:lncRNA from 1 species